UAACAGAGGGUUCGGUGUCAGCUCAGAUUGAACGCUGGCAGGAUGCUUACAUGUGCAAGUCGAACGGCAACCUGGACUUCGGUCUGGUGCUGGCGAGUGAGAACGGGUGAGUAAUGUAUCAGAGCGAUGCCUACGGACAGCGGGGGAUAACUACGCGGCGAAAACCUUAAUACCGCAUACCGCCCUUCGGGGAAAACGGGGGACCUUCCGGGCCUCGCACUAUUAGAGCAGCCAGUAUCGGUUGUAGUUGGUGGGGUAACCAGCUCCUUACCGAGGCGACGAUCAUCGCUGGUUGAAAGGGAUGAACCGAACCACACUGUGGGACUGAGACACGGCCCGAAGACUCCUGCAGGAAACCAGUGGGGAGUGGCUGGACAAUGGGGAAACCCUGAUCCAGCCAUCCCGCGAUGUGCGAUGAAGGCCCUUCGGGUUGUAAAGCACUUUUGGCAGGAAAGAAACGGCACGGGAUAAUACCCCGUGCAACUGACAGUACCUGCAGAAUAAGCACCGGCUAACUACGUGCCAGCAGCCGCGGUAAUACGUAGGGUGCAAGCGUUAAUCGGAAUUACUGGGCGUAAAGCGUGGUGGUUGGAAAGAAAGAUGCUGAAAUCCCAGAGCUUAACUUUGGAACUGCAUUUUUAACUACUAUUAGAGUGUGUCAGAGGGAGGUGGAAUUCCGCGAUAACAGCGGUGAUGCGUAGAUAUGCGGAGGAACACCGAUGGCGAAGGCAGCCUCCUGGGAUAAUGCAGCGCUCAUGCGAAAGCGUGGGAGGCAAACAGAGUUAGAUACACCUGGUAGUCCACGCCUAAACGAUGUCAACUAGCUGUUGGGGCCUUCGGGCCUUGUAGUAUCGCAACUAACGCGUGAAGUUGACCGUGCCUAGAAUACGGUCGCAAGAUUAAAGCUCAAAGGAAUUGACGGGGACCGCACACAAGCGGUGGAUGAUGUGGAUUAAUUCGAUGCAACGCGAAAAACCUUACCUACCCUUGAGCAUGUCUGGAAUCCCGAAGAGAUUUGGGAGUGCUCGCAAGAGAACCGGAACACAGGUGCUGCAUGGCUGUCGUCAGCUCGUGUCGUGAGAUGUUGGGUUAAGUCCCGCAACGAGCGCAACCCUUGUCAUUAGUUGCUACGAAAGGGCACUCUAAUGAGACUGCCGGUGACAAACCGGAGGAAGGUGAGGAUGACGUCAGUCCUCUGGCCCAUAUGGGUGGGCCUUCACACGUCAUACAAUGGUCGGGACAGAGGGUCGCCAACCCGCGAGGGAGCCAAUCCCAGAAAUAGUCAUGUAGUCCGGAUCGCAGUCUGCGCAACUCGACUGCGUGAAGUCGGAAUCGCUAGUAAUCGCGGAUCAAUGUCGCCAGUGGAAUACAUUCCCGGGUCUUGUACACACCGCCCGUCACACCUGUAGAGGGUAUGGGUUUUGCAGAGUAGUUAGCCUAGCCGUAAGGAGGCGAUUACGGUAGGAUUCAUGACUGGGGUGAAGUCGUAACAAGGUAG
rnacentral:rRNA from 1 species